AAAACGACGAUGAAAAGGACAGUAGUAAUUGAAUCUGGUUUUUAGAGACAUAAUCCCUGGCUGAAAGAUUAUGACGAAGAUUCUUUAUGAAGAUCACCUUGGAGUUGGGUGGCUGAAAACAAUUAAGCUGCUCCGUUUGACAUGCGUUAUAUGUUUUAAGUGAUUGACGGAUUGUUUAUUUGAGCAAUCCAUUAAUAAUAAGGGUGGUACCGCGAGAUAAUUCGUCCCUAAG
rnacentral:ncRNA from 1 species